rnacentral:lncRNA from 1 species
GUAUUGCACAAUUCAAAUAAAAGGAAAGUUCCAUCUUCUUUAUUCAUAAAUGAUCCUUUUGUGCAAUAAUAUUACACAAAAUGAUCAAUUACAAGGAAUCAAUGAAACAUUUUUUUUUAAUCAAAUAAAAGAAAACCAACCAUAAUAUGGUUAGUGCACAAUUUCAAGAGACAAAUUGAUGACGAAAAUUUCAUCAAUGGAAAAAGCUCAUAAACUUCGUUUUCAGAUCCUCGGCUUCCUUCUCAGUUGUCUGCACAACCACGGAGAAUGACAUCUCAGAUUCACUCAGAAGCUUCCGGUUUCCGCGGCAUAGAUGUUCCGCUAGACAAGCCCUCCUGACGUGGUUUAUCGGGACAUCCUGCUUCGAGUUACCUACGAGAGAACUGAAGUCGAUAGCAGCGGCCGACGACGAAAAAAGAGCGCUCAUGACAAAUAGUGCCGCCAACAUCAAUGCUGCAGUCUUCGCCAUGCUAACACCUUUUUUUUUGAAAGGAUGAUUUUUAAUUCUCUUGAAAUAUUGCACUGUUUUCUUGGUUUUGUUUUCUGAUAAUCUCAUGGCUUUAUAUAGGAGAAAAAGUUGCAGUUGAGAUUCAAAUUUUGUUGGUUGGUGUAAUUUUAUGAGUAUUUUGAGGAGGACCAUUCAUUUCAAUUAGUGUUGAUCCGAAAAUUACUGAGUUGCAUGUUCUUCUAUUUUUUUUUUUUUUUGCAGUUGUGUUAUUUUUUAUUUUUCUGUCUACCACAUUAAAGGGGGAAAUUAUUGACACCAUUAUUAAAGUAUAUAUAAAUGACACUACUUGAUUUCUCCUACAAUUCUUAGUAUUAUUUUCCGGUUGCUCAGAUUUUGAGUUAAUUUGUGUAACCUCUUUUGAAUGAGCUAUAAAAUCUUCUUCCAAUUUGCUUCAUCUGCUGCGCAGAUUUUGUCUAUGGAUAUCCGUUGCUAGUUCAAUUUUUUCUCUUUUAGUAGCUUUUUGUGAUAAUCACAAAUUGAUCGUCUGAACUGUGUUAAUUACGAUUAUCUUAUGGUGCAACUGAUGUUUCGAGUACCUUCUCCCCUUAUGAGGCCUUUUAAGGGGAUGAUGCAUGGCCCAAUUCUAAUAUGGUAUCAGAGUAAGUCCAAAUUUGACGAGGACUUUGUUUGUUCACGUAGAAGUUGUGUAUGAGUCAUACUGGCUUACACGUGCCAUCGAUUUUGUAAUGAUCUUGUCUCCAAAUAAUUAAAUUAAUUGACAAUUCAAAAAUAAAAUUAUCUAACUCAUGCCCAAUAAUCUUGUGAAGAUUUUCACGAUAACGUGACAAAGGCCACCCAUAAACGAUUGCUGAUGACGAAAAUACGAGCUGAAAUUUAAUGGCAAGCAAGCAAGAUCAGACAAGACAAUGAAAAUGUAAGGGAAAGAAAGACUACUUUUUUACAUCCAUGGCUUUCAGUAGAGCAUUGCCCCAAUAAGCUUAUUGUCAUCAUAAUGCAUGGGGCCUUUACGUUGCAUGAUUGAUAAGCUGCAUGAUUGAGUAUUUUUAUUAUUUACAGUAGGAUUUCUCCAAUUCCACCUUUUCCAUGGGAUAUAAAUCAAGCAAAACUAGUUUAAAUAAUAGAAAUAAUCAACGGUUUUGAGAUAUCCCAAUGGUUUUUGGGUUUCUACACAAUUCCCCCCAACUGCUUUUAACCCAACAAAAAUGAAUAACAACAUCAAAUAUUUAACGUGAAAAUAUUGUAUUUAAUUAAAAAAAACCUAAUAAUUGAUAUUUAAAUAUAAAUCUAAACUUAGAAAGCCAAAAAUUGUCGAAGUAUUCUAUAAAUAAAAUUCGAGCUCGACUCAAUAACAAACGAAUCAAGCUUGAGUGUAAUCCUAUUCAGAUCAGUCCAGCUUGAUUAUACCUUUUCAUACCUGUGCGCCGCUCUCUUCUACAUUAUUAGACACGUGUUCCUUGCUCGUCCCUUGGAGUUUUAUUGCUAGAUGGAAAACGAUGCUUGAUCUUUUAAAUUCUAUUAAUUUUCCUUGAAGGCAAUAUAUUGGCGAAUCGGUGCACUUCUUCCGGUUUGUGGGAUCACGUGCGACCUUCGAUCGAGUGAUUGAUACAUUUCGAGUUCGUGGUUUGGGUGCUGGAAGAUGGCUAUCUUGUUUUUGAUAUACGACAAACACUUGGCAUGCUCUCUUGCUCUUUAGUCUUUUGGUUCAAGUUUUCGUUGAGACUUUACGUCGAGCACCUGGUGGGUUGGCCGAAGCUUGUGUUUUUCAAAGUUAUCUACAUCAAAUGUCUUCUUUAUUUCAUUCAUUGGUUCAUGUGGUUGAUGGUCUCACUCCUUAAUUCGAGCGGUUUUUGGCUGUGUUCAUCAUCGGUGGGCCGAGGUUGGGAGCCUGGUGCUAUGGGGUUUGGUCCCCUUUUUUGUGCUGUUUCUUCAUUGUUUUGUGGCAAGCCAAGGUGGCUUUUGCUUGGGGAUUUUUGGUGCGCUCGAGUUUGGUUCCUUUUUUCAAUGCUGUUUCUUCGUUGUUUUGAGGCUAGACGAGAUGUUUUAUAGGUUGUUUUUUGUUGGUUGGUUGCGCUUAUUUUUUCUUUGUGUUCUUGUAAUAAACGAGUACUCUUUUUGCUUUACUAGUGUUUUCAUCAUUGGGUUUUUGUCCGAAAUAUUUUAGUGAGGCUCAACCCUUACUCUGCAAUUUGUGCUUUCAAGGGUUAUUAGGUUUUCUUUUCUUUAUUCUGUUUUCAAUAAAAUCUUAUUUCAGCAUUGCAAUUCCAAAUAACAAUAGAGUUCCAUCUUCUUUAUUCAUAAAUGAUCUAUUGUGCAAUAAUAUUACACGAAAUGAUCAAUUACAAGGUAAGAGUCAAGGGAAUUUUUUCUUUUAUCAAAUAAAAGAAAAUCAACCAUAAUAUGGUUAGUGCACAAUUUCAAGAGAAAAAUUAAUAUAAAGAAUUUGAAAAAAAAAAUCCUCAAUGGAAAAGGCUCAUAAACUUUGUUUUCAGAUCCUCAGCUUCCUUCUCCGUUGUCUGCACAACGACGGAGAAUGACAUGUCAGAUUCAUUCAGAAGCUUCCGGCUGCCACGGCAUAGAUGUGCGGUUAGGCAAGGCCUCCUGACGCGGUUUGUCGGGACAUCCUGCUUCGAGUUACCUACGAGAGAACUGAAGUCGAUAGCAGAGGCGGCUGACGACGACGAAAAAAGAGCGCUCAUGACAAAUAGUGCCAACAACAUCAAUGCUGCAGUCUUCGCCAUGCUAACAGCUCUUUUUUCUUUUAAAGAAUGGAGGUAGAAAUGUAGGAUUAUUUUUCACUUGAAAUGUUGCACUGUUUUCUUGGUUUUAUUUUCUGAUACUCAUCACUUUAUAUAGGAGAAAAAGUUACAGUUGAGAUUGAAAUUU